rnacentral:tRNA from 1 species
AAUUUAAGCUUCAUAUAUAAAUAGAAUUAUUUUUCUAGAA